CUGGUUGGUGGAGAAUUUGAACUGGAGAUGAACUCUAUUAUCCAGGAUGCUGAGAGUAUAAUACGCAUGACAGAGCUUUUAGAGCACUGUGAUGUAACAUGUCAAGCAGAAAUAGGGAGCAUGUUUACAGCCAUUCUAUGAAAAAGUGUUUGGAAUGUACAGACUAGCACAGAAGUUGGGCUAAUUAAACAAGUAUUGCUGAAAAUGAGUGCUGUAGAUGACAUGAGAGCAGUUUUCAUGCUAGCAAAGGAGUUGGUUACUCUGCUCAUUUUGUUGGCAACUGUUUUAUAGUCACAUCAUCGAAGUCCAAAGGAAAAUGUUUUCAGCAUUGUGUGAAAUAUGAUUUUCAACCACAGUACCUUCAAGUUUAAAUCUAAGAGUGAUAUUCAUUUGGCAGAACAUCAUAAACAGGUUUUAUAUGAUGGGAAACUUGCAAGUAGCAUUGCCUUUACAUAUAAUUGCUAGGGCCACUGAUACUCAACUCUGCCUGGAAUCAUCACCAAAAGAGGAUGCAUCAAUUUUUGUGCAUUCCCAACAUGCUCUAAUGCUUCCGGAUGUGAAAGGGAUAGUAACACAUUCAAUUCAUAGUGCAAUUCAUUCAAUUGGACAGAUUCAAGUGCUUUUUCCACUGUUUCCCCAGUUGGAUAAUUGGCAGCUCAAUGACAGUCAAGUGGAAACAACUGUC
rnacentral:lncRNA from 1 species